GAGGACAUAGCUCGGUUGACAGAGUGCUUGCCUUACAAGCAGGAAGCCGGGGUUCAAUCCUCGAUUCUGCA
rnacentral:tRNA from 1 species